GCAGAUCUGAAUGCAGGGCACCCAUAUAGGACCACUACUGGAUGAAAGGGGCUUUGUCUGGUUCUUUAUGGAAUAUAAGGAUGACGCUAAACACAGAAGUCUCAUGGAAUAAAGCUUUAACAGACAACCAUAUCAAAGGCCUUAUUGGCCGCGUACGAGGCCUCUAUAAUGAAGGGGAUGCGAUUGAACGUGGAGCUGUUAAUGUUCUAUUUCGGUCGGUACAAAGGCUUGUGGAUGUGUUUGGAUGAAAACACUGUUACCUGGUCCAUAAGCUGCUCCUCAAGCUGAAGAACCUGCUUUCUCUGGUCCACCGAAACACAGUGACGGUCUGCAUUCUAAACAUGAUAAUGUACUUUGUCCUGGAUGUGUCUAACUUCCUGCACUGUAAGGAUGAUCUCCUGCACUCAUUCUGCCAUGUCUUCAGUAUCCCAUCUGCAUUUUCUCAACAGAUUUGUGGAUUCUGGCUUCUAGAUCACGGAUUAGUAACAGACUCAAUGAAUGUCUUAUUGAGCCCAAGAGCUUGUCCUCCAACACUGUCAUGGCACCACUGUGCUGUUCUGAAGACGUUAUUGAAGACAGGAGAGAAUCGAGCAGCACUGAAGUAUCUGUACAGCAUCACACUAGCAAUGGAGAACAUACAUGACAUCAAUCUCCGUGUGGAUGUGUUAAUACACAACAAAUGUAUAUCUGAGGCCUGGGCUCUGAUUAGAGGACUCCAAACUGAAGAUGUUCAAAUACGUCAUUCAUGUCUGUGAGAAUCGUGGGAUUUGUAGAAAUAUGUUGGCCUCUCUAUGCGAGGGUAUGGCUCAUCUCCAGCUGAUAGAAAGCAAAAAUAUGGAGUCCAAUGAGGCAAAAAAUGCUAAUGCAAGAAACAGCAGGACAACAGCCAGUAAGACCUGAAGCAGGAUAAACCCCCUGCCCACUGUCUGCAUGGCUGUUGACUCCAGGAGAUUUUGUUAAGAUCCUCAGGCAGACUAUUUCUGAGAUAUGUCCACUACCAAAGAAAAGAAGAGUGGUGCUGCUGCUGCUAAAGUACAAGGAGAACAGUGUGAAUAGAGCACAACUCUCAUCCCAGGCCUUAUGUCAUUACUUUUUCUCGCAAUUCUGAGUUUGCAGAAUUUGUAUUUUUCUCUCAAUU